rnacentral:lncRNA from 1 species
AGACUAUUUACCGGAUUUGUAAUCACAUAAGCAACACGACGGGUGCCACAUGUGGAGCAGGAUCUGCUUACCCUUCCGGAGCACCUGAGAUCACCCCUAGUUUUUGGUGGGGUUAGUGUUGUUUAUUCUUUAGUUUUCUAUGUUGUGUCAUGUGUACUAUUGUUUUUCUGUUUGUCUUUUUCAUUUUUAGCCAUGGCGUUGUCAGUUUGUUUUAGAUUUAUGAGUUUGACUGUCCCUUUGGUAUCUUUCGUCCCUCUUUUAUUCAUGUUAUUA